rnacentral:rRNA from 1 species
CAGUCGCCGCGGGAAAACGUAGGUGGCAAGCGUUGUCCGGAAUUAUUGGGCGUAAAGGGCUCGCAGGCGGUUUCUUAAGUCUGAUGUGAAAGCCCCCGGCUCAACCGGGGAGGGUCAUUGGAAACUGGGAAACUUGAGUGCAGAAGAGGAGAGUGGAAUUCCACGUGUAGCGGUGAAAUGCGUAGAGAUGUGGAGGAACACCAGUGGCGAAGGCGACUCUCUGGUCUGUAACUGACGCUGAGGAGCGAAAGCGAGGGGAGCGAACAGGAUUAGAUACCCCCGUAGUCCCUGUCUCUUAUAC